ensembl:lncRNA
GAGAGAGAGAGAGGGGGGGGUACGGCGGGUUGAGAGGGGCGGGCAGCAGAGUGAGUUUGAUCAUGAGAGUGAUAGAGUGACAAGGAAACAGUGAACAGAGAGAGAACAAUCACAAAUAUCCGUUGAAUAACCGUAGAGGCAAAAACAACAGCGGUACAAUCAACGAGAACGAUUAAUCGGUACUUGAUGUUUAGCAGCCGCGAGUGUCCGGUGCCAACUAAAGUCGACAGAGACGAAGAGUGAGUGGCGAGAAUCGAGGGCAGCAACGGACACCGGCUGGGGAAGAGCCCUUUUACAAAGGACACCGACCAGAUCUACCGAGCUGUGACACCGCUUAAAUCUAUGAAUCACUCUUGCCAGUGCCUUCCUCCAUCCUCCAUCCAUCCAUCCAUCCAUCCGGCCAUCCAUCCAACCAUUUUACCUCCAUUUGCUGCUCUGUCAGUCCAUCUAUCCAUCGUCCCAUUUUGGAGUGGUGGUUUAUCUACCUGGAGUGGAUUAGAGGUGUUAUCAAAGCUAAGUAGUAGGCCUACCACUGCUCUCACACACACACACACACACACACACACACACACACACACACACACACACACACACACACACACACACACACACACACACACACACACACACACACACGAGCGCAUGCAUGCACAUACGCACACAACCCCAUAAAGCCGUCACACACACACGAUCCCACACCCUACCCCAGACACAAUAAACACACACUCACACACACACAAACGCGUAUCUACGCACACACAUGCUGCCCUUUUUAAGCCCCAGGAACCAUGACCGUUCAUUCUCUCUGUUUAUACGGACUUAUGUGACUGUGUGUAUGUCUGUGUAUGUCUGUGUGUGUCCUUGUGUGUCUGUGUGUGUGCAUGCAUGUGUGCAGAUCUGUUUGCGUUCAUGCAUGUGUUCAUGUGUGUGUGUGUGUGCGUGCGUCGAUGUGUGGCUGCGUUUGUGCAUGUGUGUGUGCUGGUUGUGUGUGUGUGUGCGUUCACGUGUGUGUUUCUGUAUGCAAAAGGAUGCUUGUAUGUGUGUGCAUGUGUGUAUGUAUGUGUGUGUGUGCGGCUGCGUUUGUGAAUUGUGUGUGUGAGCACGAGCGUUCGCGUGAGUGAGUGCGUGGAUGUGUGUGUGCGUGCAUGUAUGUGUAUCGUGUGCAUGUGGUGUGUGAGAG